UCUUUCCUUAUUUUUUAGCUGCUGGAUGGAUUGCGUUUGCUGUUGUUCUUGCGACAUCUUCGUAUCUCGAGUAAGAAUGGGAAUGAUAUGUUCAUGAUCAGUGAUAUGUACUCCCUUCGUUACAUAAUUCUUGUCUCAAAUUUGCUCAAAAAUGGAUGUAUCUAUUCUUAAAAGAUGUCUAGAUACAUGUAAGAUUUCGACAAGAAUUAUGGAACGGAGGGAGUAUUUAUUUUUCCAUGAGUAGUGACUAGUGAGUACUACAUGCACCCAUUGAUUUUAUUAGAACACAUGUAUGUGCAUAUAUUUUCAUUUUCUGAAUAACACAGGACAAUGUGUUUUUGUUCUUGAUGAAUUUUUAUUCAUCAGCAGUGAAUGGUUAUUUCUCUCGUGAGUAGUGAGUGUUACCUGUAUGAUACAUGCAUGCUGAAAAAUAACCCGGCAUUCCUUUUCAUUUAUUUCUACUCAAGCUGCAACUAAUCAGUUUCAUACUUGCAAAAUCAUAGAGGGGGAGUAGUAUUAAUUAUGUUCAAAUCAUGUACGGAGUAUAUAUCUGCAAAAUAGAUUAAAAUGAGAAAAUAGUGCAUUGGACAAAUGGGUAUUCCCAUUGGACAACAUGGAUUUUUAUCCAUCCAUAUUUGUCCACAGGCCCCCAAAAUAGACAAAUAGUAAGGACAAAUAACAACUCACCCUUAAAGAUGCCCUAAUGCCUUCGUUCCUGCAUGAUAAAUCCGCUCCCUCUGCCCAGUGCGGCGGCGCUCGUCGCCACGAAACCCUAGCUUCGUGCCAUACCUCCACCAUCCAGUCUAUGACAGCCUACGAAGCAAUGGCACCAACGCCGUGCGUUCCAGGCGAGAGCCUUCCUGGUCUGGUCCAUGGUGCUGUUGACCAAUGCCCAAGAACAGAGGCGGAGGCAACAAGGGAUCCUCCUGGUGCUUCUGUAAUCCGGAGAUUAAGACUGUAGGCAACGGCGCUGGCUCUCAUUGGAUCAAGACAGAAAACCAAUUUCCAUUUAUGGCAUUUAAUUCAGCAAAGGUAGCCAUUUGGAAGCAGCGAAUGAGGCAGUUGUUGAAUUAUUGAAGCCUAAUUCUUUUCUGCUAUUAGACAUGGUUAUGAAGUAAUCAGAAGACCGAAGUAAGGCCAGAGUCAAAUUGCUAGCUUGUACAAUAUUUAUAGAAAAGAAAGAGGCCGCAGUAGUGGUUUAGAGUUUAGGCACUUCACAGUUGUCAGGUAAAAAAUUUAGCUGGUUUUCUGUGCUUCACAAGGACUAAGAUCCUUGGCAUUUUUCGUAGUACAUACAGUGAGAAAGAUCUUACUGGAAAAUCCACAGAACUAUUUUUUCUCAACAUAUUAGGGAAAACACCUUAAUCACUAGAAAAUCAUAUGGAACUGUUUUUUUUAACAUAUUUGGAGAUUGCUGAUAGGUGAACUGAUGAUAGGUAAUACAGGUUCACUCAUUUCAUUUUUUUCUUGCUUAUCAUGCCCUUGCAUUCAUGUUUCUCUAAACUUUUGAGUUGUUAUGUCACAGAAAUAGAAAUAUGAGCUCACCACGAUGCCACGUGGCCCUCUUGACAUGUUGUGUUGUUUCAGUCAAGGAUAUGGACAUUUCAAACCCCAAUGUUUCUGAAUAUCUCCAGGCAUGUUGAUGAUCAAAGACCCUUUUGAGAAUAUAUAGUCAGUUCUUCUACGGGCUGCUCAGAUUUACAGUACUUUGAGGAACUUUAGUAUUGCUGAAAAGGCUUGGCAUCUCAUUGACCCUGAUGCUAAAUGUGUUUUCGGAACAUUGAGAAGGGUUGUUGUAAGAAAAAGCUGUUGUAUCCAACUUCGACACCCAUCUUCGGCCACUUCUGCAGACCAUGAAAUGCGACCACUGGUUUGACACAGUUGCUUUAUCUGCUGAGUUGAGUUUCCAUUUUCACAUGAGCUACUCCAGCUUAGCCUUAUACGAGUUAUAACUGACCUUGACCCUGUAGGUGACAUGGAAAAUGGGUAACAUAUGUAAAAAUGUUGAAGGACUCAUGGUGUCACGUGUGUGAUCCUUGUUGUUAAUAUUUUCGUAUUAGGGAUAUUACUGCAUUUGGUUGAUGAGCUAAUAAAAGAUAGAUCUUCCUGGUGAAUAAGGGAUCUACCUUGUUGUCUCACAUAGGUGAGUUCUCCACCCAAGCGACUCCCCGGCUGAACUUUUGCUACAAUUGUGAAACGGUGUUCUGUUCUCUCUUUGUUGGCAUAUCAUUCAGGAUGCAACAUUUAGAGUUGCAGUUGGUAUUCCUCAUUUAGAAACUUAGGAUUAUUAGAAGUGACAUAUUUUUACGUACCGAAAGAUGACACAUAUAUUUGUUGUCUUUGUGUGUAUAUGAAGGUCUGUUUCACUCA